AUCACUCGGCUCCACGCGGAACUAUUUAAGGGGCUGAUUUUCCGGGUCUCUUUCCCGUCAGUAAUUUUCCUUUUAGUCCGCCCACGGCCACCACGUUGCAGCCAUAAUUUAUAUAUCCAUUAUUACAAAACUAGAUACGCGUAUUUUGCGUAUAUAAAUCCCUUACAUAAAGAGAAAAUCAAGGACAACUCACUCUCACUUCUGCCUUGAUAUCCUUAGAUCAAGAUCUCUUCUUAUUUAACCUUGGUUGAGAAAUGGAGGAAACUUUGCUCCAUGGGACUUUACAUGCUACGACCUAUGAAGUUGAUAGGCUUCAUGAUGGAGGUGGAAACUUCUUCGGCAAGGUUGUUGUACAUGGACAUCCAUGAGGUCUGGAUAGUUAUAUGGGAGGAAAAUGUUUGAAUCUACUAACCAUGUUGCAAAGUCCUUUGUGCAAGUGGGAAAGGAAGAUGUAUAUGUGUGAUUGUUUGAGUGCGCAUAUGUAUAUGCGUUGGACGCAAUACUAAUUGGAUAGCAAUGUAAUAGAAUUCUGUAAAUUCAUUUUCUUGAUUUUGAAAUAUGUCACAUAUUUCUUGAUUGACACAGGUCAGGGCUUAUAAAAUAAAUGAUUGUUUGUCCUUGAAAAA